GAUGAAAAAAUCCAAGUAAGCUAAUUAUUAAAAAACUAUAAUUACAAAUGACCCAUUGAGAUUCAGUUUUUGUAUCAUAGUUGUUUCAGUCGCUCAGAUUUAUUCCACGACUUACUUGGGAUUUAUAAUCACAAUCCCGAACAUUUUCUUUUCAUUUUUCCUGGGCAUGGGGCUUAAAAUGAUGUUCACUUGUAUACUUGUAUAUCAGUAUUCUCCUUUUUGAAGCUCUUUUCAAGCCCCUAGAAAACAUAUUUACGUAUUGCUGUUCUCCUUUCUGAAGCCGACAGAAGAGAACCCCGACAAUCUUCUGUUGCUGUUGGCCAGUAAGAUAUACAAGGUAAAAACAUUUUACCCUUGUGUUUGUAUUUUUUUAAUAUUGAUUUCCAUCUAAUUCACACUUGGGCAUGACAUUUUUUUGUCUUUCCCGUUUAUACGUUAGCUUAUAGCAUUAUUUAACAGGUUUCCAUAGUUUUACUCUCCUGUUAUCUUGAUACUACACUAUACGGGUUUCAGAGGAUUCUUGUUGAAGGAUGCCUAUUUGUUUGCUUGGCACUUACAGGCACAAAGAUUUAUUUCGAUCACGAUCUUCCUGAUUUCUGUAGUAGAAAAAUUUUGUAUGGUAUUUUACCUUUUAUUUCAUACUGGACCCAAUUAAUUUGCGGUGAAACUAGUUUUCUAAAUUGGGUAGAAGAUGAAGGUUUUCUUAGUUAUUGACGUCGUCUGUUAUAUAUUUUGUCCUUUGUUUGUAG
rnacentral:lncRNA from 1 species